GAAACUUGAAGCAGUCCCACUAAAAUCAGGGACUAGACAAGGCUGCCCACUCUCUCCCUAUCUAGUCAAUAUAGUAAUCAAAGUCCUAGCCAGGGAAAUCAGACAACAAAAGGAGGUCAAAGUGAUAGAAAUUGGAAAGGACAAAGUCAAAACAUCACUAUUUGCAGAUGAUAUGAUAGUAUACUUAAGUGACCCCAAAAAUUCCACCAGAGAAUUUCUAAACCUGAUAAACAACUUCAGCAAAGUGGCUGGAUAUAAAAUUAACUCAAAUAAAUCAGUAGCCUUCUUCUACUCAAGGGAUAAACAGGCUGAGAAAGAAAUUAGGGAAAUGACACCAUUUACAAUAGUCACAAAUAAUAUACAAUACCUCGGAGUGACUCUAACCAAGCAAGUGAAAUAUCUGUGUGACAAGAACUUCAAGUCUCUGAAGAAAGUAAUUAAAGAAGAUCUCAGAAAAUGGAAAGAUCCCCCAUGCUCAUGGAUUGGCAGGAUUAAUAUUAUAAAUAUGGCCAUCUUGCCACAGCAUUCUACAGAUUCAAUGCAAUUCCCAUCAAAAUUCCAACUCAAUUCUUCAUGGAGUUAGAAAGAGCAAUUUUCAAAUUCAUUUGGAAUAACAAAAAACCCAGGACAGCGAAAAUUAUUCUCAACAAUAAAAGAACUUCUGGGGUAAUCACCAUCCUUGACCUCAAGCUGUAUUACUGAGCAAUAGUGAAAAAAAAAAAAG
rnacentral:lncRNA from 1 species